UGGGGUGUAGCUCAGUGGUAGAGCACUUGCCUGGUGCGCCUGAAGCCCUGGGUUUGAACUUUGGCACCACAC
rnacentral:tRNA from 1 species